GGAAAGGCUCUUCAUCAUGAGUAGGUUGCACAUUAAGGUCUCGUAUGGCUUCUCCUCCCCCAUCUAGUAGGUGGUGUUCAUCAAGAGCAUGUCAGCGCUGUGAGGUUGGUGUACUCCAAUAACUUAGAUAAGUGAAGAGACAAGUACCUAGGCUGAUUAUUUGGUUUUGCCCUCCAGUAAUCUCAACUCCAACAAGAUCAUCUUAAUGUGCAUCAUGGAUCUGGAAUAGAUUAGCCUCAUCUGUAGACUGCUUCUCGUCGAGGUCUGGUAAGGCCUCUCCCUCGUCAGGUGGUGGAUUGUUCAAAUCUAAAGCCAUGGGCUCAGUGGAGGGGGGUGAAGAAAGAUGGUAAGGCAGUCAUCGCCAGGCUUUUAUAAGCCAAGGAAGGAGUAAAUGGCGGCAUCUAAAAAUUUGUAAUCGUUGCUUUCAACCACUUAAAAAUGGCGCCAUUUCAAGACUGAAAAGGCGCUGGAUGACUUUUCAAAGUUAAAUUAAGCUUGAAUUUGUUGGGUGGCGUGAGGUAUUUGGCAUUAUUCAGUUUCAAAGAUGAAUGCUUUAAUUGCCUGUGCAUGCAUGGUGUAACAAAAAUAUU
rnacentral:lncRNA from 1 species